rnacentral:rRNA from 1 species
GUUGGCGGGUGCUUACCAUGCAAGUCGAACGAUGAUCCGGUGCUUGCACCGGGGAUUAGUGGCGAACGGGUGAGUAACACGUGAGUAACCUGCCCUUAACUCUGGGAUAAGCCUGGGAAACUGGGUCUAAUACCGGAUAUGACUCCUCAUCGCAUGGUGGGGGGUGGAAAGCUUUAUUGUGGUUUUGGAUGGACUCGCGGCCUAUCAGCUUGUUGGUGAGGUAAUGGCUCACCAAGGCGACGACGGGUAGCCGGCCUGAGAGGGUGACCGGCCACACUGGGACUGAGACACGGCCCAGACUCCUACGGGAGGCAGCAGUGGGGAAUAUUGCACAAUGGGCGCAAGCCUGAUGCAGCGACGCCGCGUGAGGGAUGACGGCCUUCGGGUUGUAAACCUCUUUCAGUAGGGAAGAAGCGAAAGUGACGGUACCUGCAGAAGAAGCGCCGGCUAACUACGUGCCAGCAGCCGCGGUAAUACGUAGGGCGCAAGCGUUAUCCGGAAUUAUUGGGCGUAAAGAGCUCGUAGGCGGUUUGUCGCGUCUGCCGUGAAAGUCCGGGGCUCAACUCCGGAUCUGCGGUGGGUACGGGCAGACUAGAGUGAUGUAGGGGAGACUGGAAUUCCUGGUGUAGCGGUGAAAUGCGCAGAUAUCAGGAGGAACACCGAUGGCGAAGGCAGGUCUCUGGGCAUUAACUGACGCUGAGGAGCGAAAGCAUGGGGAGCGAACAGGAUUAGAUACCCUGGUAGUCCAUGCCGUA